UGUGGCCAAGGCCUCACACCGCUCACCGCCCUCGUCGCGGGAGAAAAAGCCACCGGUCGCCGCCCACCGCCGAUUCGAAAUCCCGAGCCUGAAGCCACCCUAGGCUAGGCUCCCCACGCAGCGGCAACGGAGGGCGAGGAGCGCGAGCGCGCCUCUGCGGGGCCUCGGGCCUCGGCUCUUCCAGCCGCGCGCGCGCGGAGCGGCCGCGGCACGCGCCUCCAGCUCCGUUCCGUCGGCCUCCCGCUAUCCAGGCUCUUGCCGGUGGUCCUAGACCGCAGUUCAGUGUCAAAAGGAUGGCUUGAAUGGGAGAGGAAGAAGAGUAGAAGUCAUCUGCCAACAAAUUGUGCCCAUGGGCAAAAUAAGAAUCAAAGCAAAGCAAUGGCAUUGGUAAGGGAUUAAAGUGAUUGGCUAACCAAUGGUCAUCUUUCAGCAUCACUGAUCCUACUUCGCUUCCCAGACCUGACUGGUCUGGCGACCAAAUUCAGCUUACUAGCGAUUGGAUGCAGCAUGUUUCUUUGUUCCCUUAUCUGUUUGCUUUCUUGACAAUGACAGAAGAAAUAGUCAUCAGGGCACGCCCAAUGGUAGCUUUGCAUCUAUUCUCUUCUGAAAAGGAAACCACAUAGGUGCCAAAAUAUGUGUGGGUUACCAUGCUAUCCAAAUCAGCUUCAGUUGUCACCUAGAGCUCUUGAAAUCACACAGUUUUCUUCUUACAUGAGAGGACUUACAACUGAUCCAGUGCUUUCUUGGCUAGCAGAUUGUUCGUGUGUCACCUUCCCUUCUCUAUCUGAUGCAUUGCUGUCUUGAUUGCACACAUCUGCACCACCUUUACACUCAACAGGAUAUAUGAUGUUGAUGCAACCACCAAGUACCAGCAACACGAGGAAGCUACAUAUCUGCCUCCCAAAAGUUGAUAAUUGAUAUAAAUUCUACGACAAUGCAGUCAAUCCAUAUUCUUGAAGGUCAUUCAGACGCAAAAGAAGAUAGUUGCAUCGGAAUUUGUUCUAUAUGAAAAUGUGGAUUGCUUAUAUGCAAAGCAUUUGAGAAGAUUUGACGGUCGCUUUGAUCUGAAGCUUCUAAAAUAUGGAAGCUCCGAAGUAUUUAUUACUUGACCUUCCUAUUUUGGUUUGGAUGUCCAGCUGACAUCAUGCGUGGUUUUUCAUGCUCAAUGGAAAGAUUUAUUUCGUGGGCUAUUUGUGCAAGGGCCUCGACAUCGCUUAGGGAAGGGUCCAUACUCCCGUGGCCUGUGUGUGAGGUGAUGAAAUACACGCAGAAUGAUGUUGGGGAUUUGUCAAUUGCCCAUUCUUCAGGGGGUAUGAUUGUUUAACAUUCCUAGCACCAAACACGUUGCUGUACUGCGCCCACGCUACCCGCCAUCCGUGGUGCCCAGCAGUACCCACUAGGCAGGGGGCAGGACUCCAGGAGACUACUCGAUCCAGCCUCCAAGCCUCAGGGACACCGGCCGGUGGGGGACCCGCCUACGGCCACUCAGAGGCAGCCACGUCCACACUCACGGCCGUGGGGCCCACCUGGGGAGGACCAACCAUGGCUCGACACCGCGAGGACGAAAUGAAAAGAAGGGAGGAGGAAUUCUUUGCUCUCGCUGGAUUCUUUUUUACUUGAAAGGGGAAGACGAGGACGCACACGCUUCUUUUCUCUUUCGCGACAGUGUCAUGUGGAUGGUGGUGACACGAAGUGGCUGCCGGCUGCCGAUGCCUGCGAUUGGAGGAGAGCCGUAUCGGCUGAUGGGAAAAGGUUCCGGUACGAGUACUGGAUAACUUCGUCCAUCCCAUCGCGACAGGCGACGACAGGGGACAGUUGAGGGCAACGUUUUCUUCAACGGAAUAAGGAGAGGGACUGGCAACAGCCAGGGACAGGCAGAGACAACCAUCAUCAAUGCUUGGACGUAGGACAUCUGCGUUGAGCUUUCCUUCGCCCUGUGCAGAGCAAGGAGCUAGCCACUAGCAAAGGUCCGGUACAGGUGAGAGUGAGACCAUGAAAUCAAAUCGACGAAAAUAACACCCACGUCACCUAGAACUUGCUUCAAAGUCCAACACACGCUGCCUUGAUUGGUUGAACAAUCAGUUGGUACCUAGGUUGGCUGAAAAGGAAAAGGAAAAGGAAAAAAUUACACGUACGGACAGAAAAUCUUAAAAGUUUAGGUAAAACAUAAAAGCUAGGCUGGCCACAGCAGCAUGGAUAAAAUAUUUCACCAACCAUAUUGGUACAUCCAGGUCCAGACAGAUCAGUGCGGCGCUUUCCAGAAAUUUCAAGGGGCGAUUUCAGGUGGUAUUGGGGAAGACUCACUGCACCUUCAUCUGCACUCGGAAUCACUUUAUCGCUCACUGCUAACUGUAGGCGCUUAUUUGGCCUGACUUCGCUGACUUGUAAUCUGAACGAGCAAAUCAACCUCUCUCUCUUUACUUGGCUAUGCAUAUAUAGACUGUCACUGGCACCCAUACCCUCUCUCUAAAUCCACAUCCACUUUAAAUGGGAGGGUAUGGGUAGAAAAUAAUAUAUCCAUUAGAAAUGAGAAGGGCAGGUAUGGGAAUGGUACAAUCAAUCAAUUGGAUAUAAAUUGGAUAUGUAUAUAUGUAUGUAGUACAAAGUUAAUUAUCCAUGGAAUAUGGGUGGAACCGAGGAGGAUAGGGAUGGAUAAUAAUUAUUUGGAUUUAGCUGUGAAUAAGAAUGAAUUUGCCUAUACCCUCCCAGUGGCAGGCUACGCAUAUAUAUAUGAUUCUCCCUCUAGAAAAGAUGGGCAUAUGCGCCUCCCCAGCUGUGUACAAGCUGUUCAACGAGAGAGAUAAACUGGGAUCCCAACGAUAUCAUUUUCAGGAAACCUCGUUGUGGGAUGCUAAGCUACUGUAUUACCGUACUGAUUUUUAAAAUUUUGCUGGGCUAUUGCCGCCUUGUCCUCUCAGUAAUAAAAUAAAAACCCGUAAGCAAAAGGACUGCUGUGUUAACUGUUGCCGAUUGGAACUACUACUUGGCAGGGGCAGGGUACUAGCACCAGGCAGUACUACUUUAAAAUCUCGCGAGGCUGCGGCACUGGGAGGUAAGGUACGACGACCCAUCCCAUCCAUCUCCUCUGCUCCAAAAACCAAACAUCAAGAACCACAGGGAGGUAGAGAUGAUAGAGGAGAGAGAGACAUAGAUGGCCGUUUCUCUCACUGCCUCUCCUUUCAAUUUCUGUACGGCGAGUGCUCACCGGAUCCAAGGAGAACAAAGGCCUCUUCUCUUUCUCGUUCUUCCUGUUGUGCUUGGAGGGUUUAUUUGGUUUUUUCCUCUUCGGUUUCAUGGUUGGUUUCAUGGUUAUGCAACUUCUGCUUGGAUUUUCAAAGGUAUCUGGCUGAUCCGUGCGAAGUCAUUGAGUAAGGCGCUUCUAGGUGCGGAGAGGCUCCGGAGAGAUUGACAGAAGAGAGUGAGCACACGGCGCGAUGAACAGCAUAGCGUGUGUGCUGUCCUCGUCGCGUGCUCACUCCUCUUUCUGUCAGCCUCUCCAUUUCUUGAGGACUUAACUCCCACCGAGAUCCGCUAGUGGGAGUGUAAAACCGUUUAUUAUUCAAUUUCAUUCCAAUUCUAUCCAAUUCAUAUGUUUUUAUGUAGUCUUUUCCUUCCAAGAAAGGGAUUAUGUGGGCUACUUUUGGAAGAAACUCAAUCACUAAAGACAGAGCACGCAUGCCUCUAGUACCGUGGCUUUUCUCCUACUUUACACCUCCACUUCCUUAUCUCCUAGAUCUUCACACACACUUGGUUUUUCCUCAUGUUGUUCUAGUCUUUUCAGUCAAGUUGUCUUGGGAACUGCUACCGAGGAGAGUAUACGGAUGCUGGUGGUAAUGGUAAGAUGGGCAGCUGUAGGCUUCGCAGUACCGGAAUAAAUGAUUGGCUUUCCUUCUUGUUUUUCUUAUCCCCAAAUUUUCUGUUUCCUUCACAUCUUGCCUUGGGAGCUGAAGCAUUGAGAUGCUGCCAGUACACUGCAACACUGUGAGGAUUUUAUCUACGGAAUAAGCUGCAUCCUUGCUCUCUCUUUCUCUCUCUCUCACACACACACUACCAGCACCCUUUGCUUUCAUGGUUUCUUGUUCUUUUCGGGUUCUUCGGCAUGCAGGUGGUUGGCCAUGUGUUGGAGUUGAUCAAGUUCUUGUUGGGUCAAAAAUGGAGCAUGGAGGAGGCUAAGAGAUGAGCUAUAUUUGGCAUGGAAGGUGCCCUUGCUUUGCCUCUGCCAGAUCUAGCUUGCAUCUAUAGCCCAACAGCAUCAUGAUAAGCUAGGAAAUACACUGUGGAGGUGUUUACCCAGAUAACUAAGGUAUUUCCACGAUCUUAGCCUCGUCCUUUUGUUAGUUAAUUAGUUUGGUGGUUCCUUGUGAGGAAUGAACUACUGCUGUCAUUUUUGCAUCAUGCAUGUCAGAUGUGUUUGUGCUUGAUUGCGUUUGGUAUCUCUUUGUUUUUGCCCUGACACUGUUUUGCUUCAGGUAGGGGAAAAAUCAAGUUUGACUAAAGUACAGAAAAAUUACAUCUUUGUAGUAUCCACUGUUUUGAUAUGUCAUAUGCAUACUAGCUAGCUAGGUUAACUGUACCUAGCCGAAGACAUUCAGCAGAAUAUCUUUUCAUGAUGAGAUAGGCGCACAUACAUGCAUGGAAAGAAGUGUUGGUAUUUAUCCAUCCGAAUUAGUACAUCCAGUGAAGAACUGCGGAAAGCUGGAUCAAUUUGCAUUGGGUGGUGAAAUGUGUGGCACGUAGUGAAAGCUAUUCUCUAGUAAGAUCGAUGUGAUAUGAUUCGAGUUGAUGGAUGCUUUGGGAAAGUUACUACUCGACAUGUGUUGUUCCUUUCGACUACUGGAGAGAGGUAAAUUUUCUCGUCAACUCUCUUUUUCUGAGGUGUUUGUGGCAGUCACUUUGUUGACUAACUGUGUGUUUUAGUAGCCAUAUGGUUUCAUCUUUUUUUUUUCUUUUGUCUAGAUAUUUGUAUUUAUAAUCAUAUGAUAGUAUAUUAGGUGUAUACCCGGUUCUAAUAAAAUCUUUGCAAGCAGCAGUGAACCUGUGAUCAAACUCUAGUUAUGAAUUUUAGUACCAUUUAGAGUACCCUUGAAAAUUUGGACCAUUUUAUUUUAUGUGGGUAUAUAGUGCACAUUUAGCUUGUGUCAAAACAACUUUGAAAGACUAAUCAGUAGUACAGUCAUAUAUAUGUAAUAUACUUGGUGUAAAUUAUUCGAGAACGGCACAUGCAACAAUUUAUUUUUUGGAAUUCAUGAUUAAUCCAAAUUAAUAAUGAUGUUAAAGUUCAUUGGUCCUAUUUGAUUUAUCUUCAUUUACUUUCCUAUAAGCUUGACCUGUAUAUAUAUUCUUGGGAUCCAGUAAAAUCGUCAUUUGAGAUAAAUUCAGGAAGUUUGUUCUUAUACCUUAGCAUGUUCUGAUAAUUCAGUGGCCUAUAUAUAAAUGCGUGUUCCUUUCUCUAGUAUUUCUUUUUAAUGCUUGUCAUUAUCGAUAGAUCUGCACAAGCACAUCUACUGCAUCUCGACUUCAUAUUAUGUGGGCAGGAGUAGAGGUUGUUGGACCUCCCAAAUAAAUAUAAUUAAGCCAUGCAAUAAAUAAUUAGAUUGAACAUUUGUUUUUAAGCCGUUUGUUCAUCCUUCUACCCAGAUCAACACUAGCUUUAAUUAUUCUGGGAGAUCGUGAACAAUUUUCGAAGCCAUAUUGGUGUAUGAACUCACAAGUAUAGAAAUGCAUGCGUGCAGAAAAGAGAUAAGCUUUGCACGUACAUUUGUAGACACAUGUAAAUUAAUUAGAAAUGUAUGCAUGCAGAACCGGCUUACAUGAUGUGUGCUGAUACUGAAUAUAUAACAUUGCUUGUCAUGGAUUUAUUAGGGUGUGCAAUAAUGCUAUUAGAAUGACUUAAGAGACAACCCAUACAUAAUGGGGAUUUAUCCAUUAUGUGCCUAUUAUCUGCAAAACCUUGUUAUUUUUUCCGAACACGCAGAAGAGCUGCGUCACCUUGUUAAUAUCUCACAAUUCUGUCUCUUUUUAAGUAUGCAAAAAAAAAGACAGAUUAGCUAAAUACUGCCACUCUAAUUAUUAAAAAUAUAACAUAGAUCCUCGUACACUGUGUUUAUAUGAAACUUUUUUUUAUGCCUAACCAUUGAUAUAUAGAAGAAUUUGAAUUAGGAUAAAUGCAGUUGCAAAUUAAAAUGUGUAGUUUUGAGAAAUAUCUGUGAAAAUAGACCCAAGAUGUGUUUGCGUCCAUGGCUCACAAGCAAGAAAACAGUCCUUUCAUGGAAUUUGCUUUUGCUUGUGAAAGGACUAUAUUUUCUUGCGCGUAGCCUAAUCAUGGUAUUCAAUCAUUCAUAUUGGUUUAUGACGUGUGUAGGAUGCAUGAGUUUAUGAGAAACGAUUAAGAACUCCCAUAGAAAUCGGAAAAUCAACUAGCCACUCAAAUGGUAUUCAUAUUGGUUUAUGACGUGUGUAGGAUGCAUGAAUUUUAUGAGAAACAAUUAAGAACUCCCAUAGAAAUCGGAAAAUCAAGUUGCCACUCAAAUGGCCCCUUUUGUGAGUGUGACUAGCUGGUACCCGUAAAAUACUUAAUGCAUGAUGGAAAUGUAUAUAUAUUUCCUUUCAUAUAACUUGAAAGUUAACCUAUGGAUAUCCCUUGAUGAACUGUUAAGCAGCUAUUGCAUACACUGUUCUGCAAGUAAGGUGCGGCACUGUUCAUGAGAACUCCCUUUCUCUCUCAAGGGAACAUGACUCGGUUUAUUUAAUUUUAUGGAAAAAAAUGCUCUGUUACUCGAUUUUUUAACAGUCAGUUACUUGAAAUUUGAGACUUCUCCUGUAAUUCAUUUUAUAGUGCUGUAUCAGUCCAAACACCUUCAGAUUCGUUAUAUAUAUUGUUAGUACUGUUUAGUUACUUCUUAUUCUCUAUAUUUAUCUUUUGAAAGAAGGUUUUGUCUCUAUGGCCUACCGUAACUUGCUUAGGACUAGGAGACUUACUGUUUUUGUGUAUGCGAAACAGAGAGAUUCCCACCAUAAUUUAUAAUUUUAGCAAAAUAUUUAAUAUUAAAUCAUUUUAAUAUUGUUUCCAACCGGUUUAUAUUAUCAUUAAUGAAAGUGACAGUCACCCAUAUACCUGCAGAUCUUUUCUAGCUCCAUGCAAGCAAAGUAUAUUUGCAGCUAGCAAAGUUGUUGCGCUUCCUUUGUAAAUCAGUAAACGUGAUCUGAACUCUGAAGUAUCGAAACAUGUGUGUGAAAUAUAUAAGAACUAGGAAGCAAACUAAUACAAAAAGGGCUUGAUUUCAUAUUCUUGAUUGUCAAAAUUUGGUUGGUAUAUAGACUAAUGAAAAACACAGACCGAAUAUGAUCAUUGAUAGAUGGUUGGUAAUUUUAUUAAUUGCUAGGUUUUGAGUUUUUUUUAGUUUAACGUACUGUAGGUCUGUAGCCUUUUCAAUUGGCUACGACUGUGUCAAGUCAUAGGCUCAUAGCCUCUCUGAUAAAGGACGAAGGUGUUAUUGUCAUAUCACUGUUGAGGUUUUUAAUUUCAUCUUCUGUCAUGCAUGGCACUUGUAGGAAGAGAGAGAUGUGACAGUACAGUUGCCGCCCGUCCCAGUUUGUGAGCCAUGCAUGUACAUUUGCUUUCAUGCAUCAGAAGUACCAGGCCAACACUGUUUUUUGUUGCCGUCUUUCAUCAGGCAGUUCUUCUGUACUUGGCAUCAGAUGCUGGAGCUAUGCUCUGCUGUACAGUAUAGCAUCGGAUGUGGUGCAGACGUAUUAUGCAUGUGACAUUGUGACGAAGACUCGUCGAGAGGAUAAUGACUAAACCAACUGCAGCAGAUGCGUAAAUUGGAAGUUCAGCCAACCUCAGUUUUGUAUUUCAUGUUCUGGACGCGUAUCUUGCUACUAGUAUGAAAUCUAGCGUUUUAAAAACAUGUGAGUUGUAUGAAAUUUGGUGCCAUGCUCGAUUAUAGAGUAUAGACGUGUGUUUUACCCGAGGGAAAUUGCAAUAACCAUUGCUUAAGAGUUUGAGAUUCUCUCAUAAGCUAUUUUUGUUACAUGUUUUUGUUGCAAAACAUCAUAUAUAUUAUGCAUUCGCUCAACCAAUAAUCAUGCACGUUUUUGUAGAUAUAUGCAUGUUUUCAAAGAUAUGGAGCCAUGACAUGAUGCUGCCAAGCUAUCGCCGAUUCAAACUUAUCCAGUUUGAUAGCCAGACGCUUAUGUGGCGUAGUUUAGAGAUGUUCCAUCCAGAGAAUUUCGGCCAUUCAGCCCUCUCUUGUAGUUUUGUGAAGCUCGACUGACGACUGCGAUUGAGAAUUUUAGUAACGUGGGCCAACUGACCCACUCAAUUUGGGCCGGAGCCCGGAAUGCCAGGAGAAAAAAAAGGUGCAAUUGCUUUUGGUUGGAGUCCGCGAUCUUUUCCCCCCUUUUUUGUGCCUGCGAUAGUCGAGCAGCAAGACAAAUUGAGGUUGAGUCAAUGACCUCAUUGUACAAAUUGAAGUUGAUCGAGUAACUAUUUUAUGCAUGGGCAGAGAAUGGUAUGACGUGCAACAUUGAGUUGCAUGCCAAAGCUACGCUAUAUUCUACUCCCUCCGUUCCAAAUUAUAAGUCAUUCCAAUUUUAUUGGAGGGUCAAAGCAUCUCAAGUUUGACCAAA